UCCCUAGUUGUCCAGUGGUUUGGACUCUGCGCUUUCACUGCCCAGGGCCCAGGUUCAAUCCCUGGCAGGGGAA
rnacentral:tRNA from 1 species